rnacentral:rRNA from 1 species
CCUACGGGAGGCAGCAGUGGGGAAUAUUGGGCAAUGGGCGCAAGCCUGACCCAGCAACGCCGCGUGAAGGAAGAAGGCUUUCGGGUUGUAAACUUCUUUUGUCAGGGACGAAGCAAGUGACGGUACCUGACUAAUAAGCCACGGCUAACUACGUGCCAGCAGCCGCGGUAAUACGUAGGUGGCAAGCGUUAUCCGGAUUUACUGGGUGUAAAGGGCGGGUAGGCGGUACUGCAAGUCAGCUGUGAAAAUCACGGGCUCAACCUGUGCCCUACAGUUGAAACUGUAGUUCUUGAGUACUGGAGAGGCAGACGGAAUUCCUAGUGUAGCGGUGAAAUGCGUAGAUAUUAGGAGGAACACCAGUGGCGAAGGCGGUCUGCUGGACAGCAACUGACGCUGAGGCGCGAAAGCGUGGGGAGCAAACAGGAUUAGAUACCCCAGUAGUC